CUUCUUCCUCCCUUCUGUGUUGUGCCGCUCGUACAAUUAAAGAAAAAGGAAGAAUAAAGCUUUUGUCCUCAAAUCUGUUUCCGCCACACAUAGCCGCUGCUCUCAAAAAAAUAUAUAUAUAUUAAAUAAUCAAAGGAGGAGAAGGAGAGAUCGAGGAAUCCCAAGUGAUUUCGAGGAGGCAUUGUGAGAGGUUUUCGAUUGUCUUUCAGAUUUGCUAGACUCGGGAUUAGGUGGAAUUGAGGAUUGUCAAAUUCUUAGAACGAAGCAAAGAAUAAUUCGAGAUUGUUAUUGUCUUCUAGGCGAAGGUUAAAUAAAGUCUUUAAUGUUUAGAUGAUGAAUUGAGAGUUUGUAAUAAUGAGAUUCUUUCUUUAGGUUGAGAUUUAUUUGGAGUUGAGGAAUAUUUAUUUUUAUCAA